GGCGAGUGGCGAACGGGUGAGUAAUAUAUCGGAACGUGCCCAGUCGUGGGGGAUAACGUAGCGAAAGCUACGCUAAUACCGCACACGAUCUACGGAUGAAAGCGGGGGACUCGUAAGAGCCUCGCGCGAUUGGAGCGGCCGAUAUCAGAUUAGGUUGUUGGUGAGGUAAAAGCUCACCAAGCCUGCGAUCUGUAGCUGGUCUGAGAGGACGACCAGCCACACUGGAACUGAGACACGGUCCAGACUCCUACGGGAGGCAGCAGUGGGGAAUUUUGGACAAUGGACGCAAGUCUGAUCCAGCAAUGCCGCGUGCAGGACGAAGGCCUUCGGGUUGUAAACUGCUUUUGUACGGAACGAAAAGGUCUGCUUUAAUACAGUGGGCUCAUGACGGUACCGUAAGAAUAAGCACCGGCUAACUACGUGCCAGCAGCCGCGGUAAUACGUAGGGUGCGAGCGUUAAUCGGAAUUACUGGGCGUAGAGCGUGCGCAGGCGGUUUUGUAAGUCUGUCGUGAAAGCCCCGGGCUCAACCUGGGAAUUGCGAUGGAGA
rnacentral:rRNA from 1 species